CCAAAUUAUUGGGAUAAUUUUUUGUUUAAAAUUAUUUAAUUAAUUUAGUAAUUUACUGAUUGAGAUUAACAUGGUUUCUACAACAUUAAUCUUCUUUGUUAAACACCAUUGUAGUGUUUGAAAUUUCACCUCAUCCAUCUUUAUUGAAUUAUGAUCUUCAACUUGUGUUUACUAAUUUUACUGUUUAUUUGCUACUUGGGAUAAUUGCCUGUUAACUGAUUGUUCAAUAAGUGUGGAUAAUAAUUAACCAUUUUUGCAAUCAUUUUUGACUUCAUUAACCUUCAAAUUAUCAACAUUUUGUGUUAACUACAAGUAAUUUUCCGACCUUCAACUGUCUGUUUUUAUGUUAGUAUGGAUGUAGAGUUAUUGUUAUUUUUUUAGAUUUUUAUCAACACGUAAUUUACCCUUUACUUUGUAUAUGUUCAAACUAGUCACAUUAAUCUGGUUGAUACAAAAAAAGAUUUGACUGUUUUUUUGUUCAAUGAUUACAAAAGUCAUUUAACCAGAGUGACUAUGUGUUAAAUCACGUUUACUUUGCUUGUUUCACCUCAUUCUCGUGUUACUUUUUCAACGAUAGUUUGACUAAAUUUGCUUUAUUUACCGGUUACACUUUGCUUCAAAAUUGGAUUAGAGUUAACUUUUUUUUUGGACUUUAAUGUGAAACAAAACAGGCAAAAUUGAAGUCACUUUAAUCACUUAUGUUUGUGAUUUGCACAAGCGUCAUUAUAAACGUUGAUCAACCUUUACACACUGAUUAGUAAUACCCUCAUCUGUUUAUGGAAGAACCUAUAACCCUGGAGUUUAUGAUUGGAUGAGAGAUUUUCAUGUUUUCAGUCGAUCAUUUUCCUAAUGGCAGCCUAAUCACAUGGAUUCCAAGCUAUUACAGAUGAUACAAUGAAUAACUGGAUUCUGGAAAAGAUAAAGUCUCGAUAAAACUAUAUGAAUAGUGUUCAUGCAUUUCCUAAGGAAAGUGACCAAGACCUUUGGACAGAGAGAAUCAGGUUUCCAAUUUCAAAGCAAAGGAAGUUUUAAAAUGGACAAAUAUUUUGGGUUAAUUUCAAGUUCGAGGUUGAUGAAUAUCCAAACAAAUUAAUAGCCCGGCUAAUUACUAGGAAGAUAUUGAAUGGCUCGAGGUCGAGCAACCACCAGCUUAGAUUGAUGUUCAAAUUCAGAGUUUCCUUCACGCGCUAUGGGCUGUUACCUCCAGAACUCGAUGUCAAUAAUUAUUUUCAAGAAAACCUUCAAUUUUUAUAAUAGUCAAUGGAGUUUCAUUCAAUUUUCCGCCAAUGUAAUCUAAUGAUAUUUAAGAGCAAUUCUGUCCUUUUCAGCUUA